CAGUACAUGAGAAGCACAACGUUUCAAAAGGCCUUACUGUUAGGUGUUCUCGAUACAUAAAGUGCAUUGUCUUUUGGAAUUUUCUUCGAGGUAAUAAAAGGUGAUUCAGACUUCUGCGAUUCGAUCAUUAUUCUCGAAGAAGACGAAGUCACUCGAAGUCGAAGAAGGAGAAAUCACUCGAAGAAGGAGAAAUCAUUCGAAGAAGUUUAGAGAAAAGUUGGAAGAAUCUUUCUCAGAACGAACUAUACGACGACGAAAGAUGGGAAAGGCGAAACACAAACGAAUAAUAGACUGAAAGAAUCGUCUGAGUCAAAAGUGUCGGAGCUGCCUUGGGACAUUAAUGCACGCAAAUACAAAACUCAAUUUGAUUUCGGUGAAAAUUUGCAUGAGUAAAAUAUGCAUGGAUUUGGCUUUUUUGACUGAGAUAUGCUGAACACUCUUCUGUUUACCUCCUUGAUUUUCAACUUUUCGGAUUGCGGUUUUUGCAUGGGUUAACUGACCUAGUCGUAUCAAGCGCAUGCGGAGUAAAUACAAGUGAUUUGGGGCCCCAUCACUUGUAUUUUUCUCCAUCUUGAACGACAAUAGUCCGGAACAAAAAUAUUGCUCACAGAGCGCCUAAAACAUAAAAAUGCAUGAGAAUUUGUAUUUCUAGAAGGAGAUAAUAGUCGAGUGUUUUGGUUUUCUCGAGAUCUAAGAAAACGAUGAAUAUUUCCUACAAAACGUGCAUGACAAUUUUGUAUUUGCGUGCGCAAUGCGAAGGCCUUGGACGAGUGGCGUUGGAGAUGUCGAAGGAUCGUCACAGGAUCAGAUGAUGAAGGAUCGUCGCAGGA